rnacentral:rRNA from 1 species
CUGUGAGCUCGAUGAGUAGGGCGGGACACGUGGUAUCCUGUCUGAAUAUGGGGGGACCAUCCUCCAAGGCUAAAUACUCCUGACUGACCGAUAGUGAACCAGUACCGUGAGGGAAAGGCGAAAAGAACCCCGGCGAGGGGAGUGAAAAAGAACCUGAAACCGUGUACGUACAAGCAGUGGGAGCACAGAGCAAUCUGUGUGACUGCGUACCUUUUGUAUAAUGGGUCAGCGACUUAUAUUCUGUAGCAAGGUUAACCGAAUAGGGGAGCCGAAGGGAAACCGAGUCUUAACUGGGCGUUAAGUUGCAGGGUAUAGACCCGAAACCCGGUGAUCUAGCCAUGGGCAGGUUGAAGGUUGGGUAACACUAACUGGAGGACCGAACCGACUAAUGUUGAAAAAUUAGCGGAUGACUUGUGGCUGGGGGUGAAAGGCCAAUCAAACCGGGAGAUAGCUGGUUCUCCCCGAAAGCUAUUUAGGUAGCGCCUCGUGAAUUCAUCUCCGGGGGUAGAGCACUGUUUCGGCAAGGGGGUCAUCCCGACUUACCAACCCGAUGCAAACUGCGAAUACCGGAGAAUGUUAUCACGGGAGACACACGGCGGGUGCUAACGUCCGUCGUGAAGAGGGAAACAACCCAGACCGCCAGCUAAGGUCCCAAAGUCAUGGUUAAGUGGGAAACGAUGUGGGAAGGCCCAGACAGCCAGGAUGUUGGCUUAGAAGCAGCCAUCAUUUAAAGAAAGCGUAAUAGCUCACUGGUCGAGUCGGCCUGCGCGGAAGAUGUAACGGGGCUAAACCAUGCACCGAAGCUGCGGCAGCGACACUAUGUGUUGUUGGGUAGGGGAGCGUUCUGUAAGCCUGUGAAGGUGUACUGUGAGGUAUGCUGGAGGUAUCAGAAGUGCGAAUGCUGACAUAAGUAACGAUAAAGCGGGUGAAAAGCCCGCUCGCCGGAAGACCAAGGGUUCCUGUCCAACGUUAAUCGGGGCAGGGUGAGUCGACCCCUAAGGCGAGGCCGAAAGGCGUAGUCGAUGGGAAACAGGUUAAUAUUCCUGUACUUGGUGUUACUGCGAAGGGGGGACGGAGAAGGCUAUGUUGGCCGGGCGACGGUUGUCCCGGUUUAAGCGUGUAGGCUGGUUUUCCAGGCAAAUCCGGAAAAUCAAGGCUGAGGCGUGAUGACGAGGCACUACGGUGCUGAAGCAACAAAUGCCCUGCUUCCAGGAAAAGCCUCUAAGCAUCAGGUAACAUCAAAUCGUACCCCAAACCGACACAGGUGGUCUGGUAGAGAAUACCAAGGCGCUUGAGAGAACUCGGGUGAAGGAACUAGGCAAAAUGGUGCCGUAACUUCGGGAGAAGGCACGCUGAUAUGUAGGUGAAGUCCCUUGCGGAUGGAGCUGAAAUCAGUCGAAGAUACCAGCUGGCUGCAACUGUUUAUUAAAAACACAGCACUGUGCAAACACGAAAGUGGACGUAUACGGUGUGACGCCUGCCCGGUGCCGGAAGGUUAAUUGAUGGGGUCAGCGCAAGCGAAGCUCUUGAUCGAAGCCCCGGUAAACGGCGGCCGUAACUAUAACGGUCCUAAGGUAGCGAAAUUCCUUGUCGGGUAAGUUCCGACCUGCACGAAUGGCGUAAUGAUGGCCAGGCUGUCUCCACCCGAGACUCAGUGAAAUUGAACUCGCUGUGAAGAUGCAGUGUACCCGCGGCAAGACGGAAAGACCCCGUGAACCUUUACUAUAGCUUGACACUGAACAUUGAGCCUUGAUGUGUAGGAUAGGUGGGAGGCUUUGAAGUGUGGACGCCAGUCUGCAUGGAGCCGACCUUGAAAUACCACCCUUUAAUGUUUGAUGUUCUAACGUGGACCCGUGAUCCGGGUUGCGGACAGUGUCUGGUGGGUAGUUUGACUGGGGCGGUCUCCUCCUAAAGAGUAACGGAGGAGCACGAAGGUUGGCUAAUCCUGGUCGGACAUCAGGAGGUUAGUGCAAUGGCAUAAGCCAGCUUGACUGCGAGCGUGACGGCGCGAGCAGGUGCGAAAGCAGGUCAUAGUGAUCCGGUGGUUCUGAAUGGAAGGGCCAUCGCUCAACGGAUAAAAGGUACUCCGGGGAUAACAGGCUGAUACCGCCCAAGAGUUCAUAUCGACGGCGGUGUUUGGCACCUCGAUGUCGGCUCAUCACAUCCUGGGGCUGAAGUAGGUCCCAAGGGUAUGGCUGUUCGCCAUUUAAAGUGGUACGCGAGCUGGGUUUAGAACGUCGUGAGACAGUUCGGUCCCUAUCUGCCGUGGGCGCUGGAGAACUGAGGGGGGCUGCUCCUAGUACGAGAGGACCGGAGUGGACGCAUCACUGGUGUUCGGGUUGUCAUGCCAAUGGCACUGCCCGGUAGCUAAAUGCGGAAGAGAUAAGUGCUGAAAGCAUCUAAGCACGAAACUUGCCCCGAGAUGAGUUCUCCCUGACUCCUUGAGAGUCCUGAAGGAACGUUGAAGACGACGACGUUGAUAGGCCGGGUGUGUAAGCGCAGCGAUGCGUUGAGCUAACCGGUACUAAUGAACCGUGAGGCUUAACCUU